UCUUAUUGUUUAUUCUCAUGAAUAUGAUUAACUAAUUUUAUAUUAAUUUAGUUUUUAGUUGAUUUUAAUUUGAGCACUUAAAUCAUGUGAUUGUAUAAACUCUAUUCAAUACAAUUAUUAUCCUAGUAUUAUUCAGUGAAUUUUUUCUUAAUACUUUUCAUAUAUUGAUGAGCUCUUGAUUUGGACAUAGUACUUCCUCCGUUCCAAAUUGUAUGACGUUUUGGGCAUUUCACAUAUAUUAAGAAAUGUAAUUAAUAUUGUGUGGGAAAGUGAUAUUAUGAGUUGCUUUACAAAAUUAUCCUUAAUAAAUGAUAUGGGAAAGAUAAAUGAAAGAAUUGAAAGAAGAAAGAGUAAAAUAGUUAAGGAUAUAAUAGGAAAAGUAACAUUAACGUUUCAUUUGUAUUGUAAAGUGACAUACAAUUUAGGACAAAUAUUUUUUCUAAAGUGACAUAACAAUUUAGGACGGAGGGAGUGUAAUGUUUGAUCUAACAUUUCAAUUUAGGGAUUAGGGUGUUGUAUAAUUGUAGAGACUAUGUGCAAUUUACCAAACUGCAAGAAUUAAUUGAUUCGAAAUAUUUGAUCACUUUAAUCUUUGAUGUUUUCUAAAACAAAUUAUUUUUAUUUUAUUUUUUGUUAAACUGAAAUAUAUGCUCUACAUACCCCAUUUGUUAAAUCUUAUUAUAAUUAAAUUUCUACGUUGAGAUUAAAACAAUCCAUGCGGAGACAAACUUAUAAAUCUUAUUACUUCGAUACAUUUUUAGUAUACUUGCUACAAGUUUAUCAAUCAUAAUUGGGUUAACAUCUUAACUAAUUAAACUAACCAAUUCAAGUAAACUCAUCUGUAGUCACAAUUUGCAAUUCCUAAUAAAUAGAAACAAAUUAAACCACAUAAUAAAACUAUUCAGUAGGAAAAACACAACAAUGUAAUGUUAAAGAAGAAAAAUAGACUAAGUGAAAAAGAAAACUAGCUAAGUUAAAACUUAUAAAUUAGGUUAUUUCAAUUUUGUUAAGGUAAAAGCAACACGUUCAUAUAUAUAGGGAGAAAAACAUUAAUGUGGAUAUAUAGAAGCUAUUCUUAACAUAUUUAUUAUUUAUUUAUAUUUUGAUAAAAUGAAAAGUUGAAUUCUGAACAUAUUAUUUUCAUUUAGUUUAGUUGACGUAAAAUCUAUAUCUAUAUAGAAGACAUAUUCAAAUAGCUAGCCUUUAUUUUUAGCACCAGCAAAUUUAGUUUUCUUGAUGUGGACAUAAAGCAUGCAUAAUAACUUUCUGCAUUCAAAACACAACAACACAUUAUAACAGCUAAAGAACCAUUAAUUCAAAAAUAGCAAUUUAAUAUUUCCAUAUUCACCUUCAUCAAAUUUAAUAUUUCUCAUCCACUUUUUCCGCUUUUUCCAUUGUUGUUCUCCCAAAAUUAAAGAGACUGCAGGAAGGAACCAUAACCAAAUAAGCACGCCUAUUUUAUGCUGGUAUGAAUCUUUACAAACAUAUGAAAAAUAUAAAAAUUUAAUUUAAUUUCAUCUUAAAUUUUGUACUUGGUUAGCAACCAUAACCCCGCUUCAUAUGUUUCCAUGUGGAUACCUACUCAUUGUUGUGUAGGUAGAUGAAAAGAUGGAAAUAUUUGAAGAAGAGAUAGAAUUUUAAGCUACAGGGUUAUUUAAAUUUCAUUUUUACACUCCAUAGAUAUUUUAUUUACGUUAUUAUGAGGUAAUCGAUGUAUGGAUCGACUAGCAUAUAAGUUACUUUAGAGUGAAUUUCGUACACUAUGAAAUAAUAGUAAGUUUCUCGAUCUUUUAAUUAAGCAUUUCUCUUUUUAAUUAUGUUAAUUUCACAUAUUUAUUAUAUGAAAACUUUUAUGUUUGUGAAUGUUUCAAAUUGAAAUUUAUUUUCUUGUAUUUUUUAUUAGAUUCUAUAUUUAAACUCAUCUCAGGAAAGUGUGUCACAUGUUACAAAAUUUUAUUCUAUUUUUUGUAAUUUUCCUUUUUCUAUCUCAAAACGGUAAAUUAAAAAUUAUUUUAUAUAAAUGAAUUUUUUUUAGGUGACCUCCUGUUUAAUUUUGUCCAUGGGACAAACAUAACGUAACACUUCAAUGUAGUUAAGAGAUAUUUUACUAAGUAUUAUAACAACUAUUUAAUUUAUGUAGUUAAGAGAUAUUUUACUAAAUCUUAUAACAACUAUUUAAUUUGUAUAAAGAAACCGUGUGCUUUAUACAUUAUAAAUUCAUCAAAUCCUUUUCUAUUUUUUUCAUGCAAAAGGGAAAAAUAUGGCUAAAGUCACUAAGUUUGUUUAUAUUACGAUCCACUUUCUUUCACUAUUUUUCAUUGCAAUGAACAUUGUCGGUAAGUUAUCAUUCAUUGUUUUACAAUUUUUUCUUUACUUCUUAC
rnacentral:lncRNA from 1 species